CUCAGAUUUCCCAUCUCCAGCUGGGUUUGAGUUUCCAAAUCUCUGUCAAACUAAGCCAGUUUCCUUGGUAACUAUCUCACUCUCCCACCUAUGUAUAAGGACAAUUGCUUCUUUCUGCUGAACGAUGAUGGUGGAGCCAAAAGAAAAGGAAAAAGCCCCCAGUUUCUGCAGAUCCUAGACUGUUUCCUAGACUUCAGAGGAUAUUUCUGCUGUGGAUGGAGGAUCCAAGUUCCUGAUGAUCUCGAUACCAUUCUGUGAAGUCAAUGGGAGGCACCAGAUCCUGAGAGUCCCAGUUCAAGGCCGAGUUCUCGGUUUCAAAUUCCUUGCCGCGGAGCUGGGCUCCAUCCGCCUCCAGCUACCUGCCUAAUGUGAUCAUUCUGCAUGGUAGAAAUCAAAUUUAUUUUGCUGGAAGGCGACUCACCCAGUAACGCACAUUAUAUCAGUCUGCUUCCAAGGGAAGGCGAAGCAGCCGAUAUAUAUCCAAGCUGGAGAGUUCUGGAACAGGUAGGGGUUUUGUCCCAGAAGAAGUGGCUUCAAAGAGGAAAAGAAAAAUUGGUUCUACAAAUGUACUUUCUGCCAAAGAUGGUGGAAGAGUGGUCAGAAGUUCUCACUGAGCAGACACAUGCUGUGGGAUAGGAAUGGCAAGUUUGCAUCCUCCAGCCAGAUCCUUACUUCAGGUUGCUUGAGAUAAGUUAGCACGAGGGAAAAUGGACCAUAAACAGCUUACAGGAGGCUGAUGAGGCACAGGGAAAUGAUCUUCAACACAGAUGGCCCUCCUGCUCCAGGAUCUCCAAGGAAAAGUAGGUAAAGAUGUUUAUUGGUUUCCAAAGGAACCUUUUUUAUUAUGCUAUGAAAAAAAUGAGUGAUGCUUUUUAAGUCUUGUAUGUGUG
rnacentral:lncRNA from 1 species